UACAGAGGUCCCGAGCGUUACUGAGAAUCACUGGGUUUAAAGGGUGCGUAGGUGGUCCGUUAAGUCAGUUGUGAAAUCCCCGGGCUCAACUCGGGAACUGCUUCUGAUACUGGCGGACUUGAGGCCAGUAGGGGUCACUAGAACUGACGGUGGAGCGGUGAAAUGCGUAGAUAUCGUCAGGAAUGCCGGUGGUGAAGACGGGUGACUGGGCUGGUUCUGACACUGAGGCACGAAAGCGUGGGGAGCGAACAGG
rnacentral:rRNA from 1 species